AACGAACGCUGGCGGCAUGCCUAACACAUGCAAGUCGAACGGGAUCCUGGCUUCGGUCAGGUGAGAGUGGCGGACGGGUGAGUAACGCGUGGGAACCUGCCCAGUGGUGGGGGAUAACUGCGGGAAACUGCAGCUAAUACCACAUGAGCCCGAGAGGGGAAAGAUUUAUCGCCAUUGGAGGGGCCCGCGUUCGAUUAGGUAGUUGGUGAGGUAACGGCUCACCAAGCCGACGAUCGAUAGCUGGUCUGAGAGGAUGAUCAGCCACACUGGGACUGAGAUACGGCCCAGACUCCUACGGGAGGCAGCAGUGGGGAAUAUUGGACAAUGGGGGGCAACCCUGAUCCAGCAAUGCCGCGUGAGUGAUGAAGGCCUUGGUUGUAAAGCUCUUUUGGUCGGGGACGGAUGGAUGACGGUACCGCAGAAUAAGCCCGGCUAACUUCGUGCCAGCAGCCGCGGUAA
rnacentral:rRNA from 1 species